UCGAUGAAGAACGCAGCGAAAUGCGAUAAAUAAUGUGAAUUGCAGAAUUCAGUGAAUCAUCGAAUCUUUGAACGCACCUUGCGCUCCUUGGUAUUCCGAGGAGCAUACCUGUUUGAGUGUCAUUA
rnacentral:rRNA from 1 species